CGAGUUCAUCUGAAGCUCCUCGCUCGCCGCUUUCUUAGCAUUAAAGACAUCCACAUUGACGAGCGAUUCUCUAUUCCUCGCCAUGUUAAAUUGGGGCAAAAGCGGGGCAGAGAUGAGUCCAAACGAUCAUCCCUUAAAUUGCGCCGUGUGACUGAAAAGAGUGGGAAUGAGGAAGACCAGUCUGGAUCUUACUGUUUGUCAGAUGCAGGGUUGACUGCUCUCAGCGAGGGCUUUCCAAAACUUGAGAAACUGACCUUGGUCUGGUGCCCAAAUGUUUCGAGUUCGGGUUUAUCGUCCCUUGCUCACCGGUGUAUAUACCUGACAUCUUUGGAUCUACAGGGUUGCUAUGC